rnacentral:lncRNA from 1 species
CUGCGGGGCGCUGUUGCUGUGGCUGAGAUUUGGCCGCCGCCUCCCCCACCCGGCCUGCGCCCUCCCUCUCCCUCGGCGCCCGCCCGCCCGCUCGCGGCCCGCGCUCGCUCCUCUCCCUCGCAGCCGGCAGGGCCCCCGACCCCCGUCCGGGCCCUCGCCGGCCCGGCCGCCCGUGCCCGGGGCUGUUUUCGCGAGCAGGUGAAAAUGGCUGAGAACUUGCUGGACGGACCGCCCAACCCCAAAAGAGCCAAACUCAGCUCGCCCGGUUUCUCGGCGAAUGACAGCACAGACAGGUGGGAAGAUAACAAGUGUGUGUUAGACGUGGUUUUCUAGACUGACAAGAGGGACUGGUCUGUUCUGCAGGGGCAGCCCAAAGAAAGUCUUCAUAGUUGCUGUGUUUAAUCUGAGUGGGAACUGAGGUGAGUUUUAGAAUGAGAGAUUCAAGAAGAAAGAUUCCCAAUGCCUGUGCCAGCUCUCAGUGUUGUGGCUGGAAAGUAGGGGGCAUCUGGUGUUGUCCUGUAAAGGAAGGCCAAGAAGAUAGCCUCACGUGCCAUGA